UUACUUGUUUUUUAACUGAAGGGCAACGCGGUAUCUACAGACUCUUCUGUGCUCGAUGCUCUGAUUAAUGGGUCUGAGCCAUGGGACACUACGGUGGAUUUCUGGACGUCUUGGAAUGGGAAGGAAAGUCGCCAAUGGGACUACAAUCGAUUAAGGCCCAGAUGGCCGUUGCUACCUGGGCUCCUUUGUGUGCGUGCCACUAUGAGAGGUGGCGGUGCCGGUACUGGCAGUGUCGCAGGCUCUACCGUGAUAUUCAACGAACCCGUGGAGAGAGAACUCCGGGAAUGGCUGCGAACAUAAGAAAUGCCAAAAGGACGUGAUGGAAGUAGUCUGGCAAACGAUGGGACCCACGAGGCACACACUCCAAGCAGACCUUCCAGAUCCGCCCCUGUCCAAGGAAGUCUACAGGGUGCCGCUCCUUCCCGCCUUUACAGUCUAUCGUUAAGAUAAGCCAACUUCCUCCACUACUAAACUCCCUUGGCCAGACAAGCGCCGCAAAAAACACCACAUCCGUGCCACGACUGCACCGUUCCUGCCCUCGGCCGGCCCAGGGAUGAAGCGGGGUUGUCGUGAAGAUCUCAGGCCAGACCCGAACCUCGUUUUGACACCAGCUCGGCUGCUCGGGGCACGUGUGCAUUGCCCCGAGUUGGCGACAUUAUGGUAUUUUAUUGAUGGGGUAUUAAUGUGACUUUGCUCCCAUGUUGAGGUGGAAAGUAACUUGCCGUCUACUUUUAUAGUUUUUUCUUAAUGAAAUUUGCUCAAUUGACUGUGAUGAUCUGAUACUUCAUAUAUAUCCGGGCUUAGUUUUACCUUAAGAUGUGUUAGCCUCUACCGUUUAGACUUGUGUGACGGCAGAAGGUUUUAAAUCGACUAGAAUUUAGCUUGUAAAAAGUUUCUAGUAUAAUCAUUGCACUAAACUAUUUUACAUCGUUUCCAUUGUAACCUAGUGUCCUGGGGUAACGAGUUAUCUUACCCACGAAAAAAAACUUCAGGGCUAAUGUGCAGGAGAGGAGCUAAAGAGACUACAUACAAUCUUUAUCACUAUCUAAAGGAACGAAGAUUCCAACAAUACUGUUACUAAAAUACAACCAAACCCAUUUAUGUCUGGUUUCCUUGACUGCCCAACGAGCCCCUUGUCUGCCUGAGUGUUAAGUUCCCUAAGUUUGAUGUUAACACUAGUUAACUUUUUGAAGUACGCUUUAUCCGUUGAUUUUCAUAUACUAAAGUCUGCGUAUACUCUUAGUUUAAAUCUAAUUUGACUACUAAUCAUCCUGUUAAGUAAUACUAAACUUAGAUCGGCAGCAUCAACUAUACUUGCUUGGAGUUGGUGUAUUGACCAAUUAGUGGCAGUCGAUCUGAUCUCCGCGGUGUUAAAUAAAAAUUAAAAGCGACCAAAACUACUUACUAUACGUACGGCUGCAGCAUUUAAGCGUCUAGUUAAAGGUUUUACUGAAUAAAUGGGAGCUGUAGCUAAAAAAAAAAAAGUCCCUGAACGCAGCAUGGAAGGAUCAUGCCUUCGCUCCCGAACAUCAUCUCAUUCAACAUUGCAUGGAAUCCACUUAACAAUACUAAGUCAUUUAACCGUAUGCGGCAAAAGUUUUAAAUAAAUUCUAGGAUACAUUGUAGACAGGUGGGGCCAUAUCAAUGGACUCUCAAGAUCACCCAUAGGAGGUCGCUGCUCGUAUAAGUACUCCCGAUAUUAUUCACAUGGCAAUUGUUAUGCACAAGGUAUAAGUACUCCCGAUAUUAUUCACAUGGCAAUCGUUAUGCACAAGCAAAUAACUCAAAGU